rnacentral:rRNA from 1 species
GGCGUUAAGUUGCAGGGUAUAGACCCGAAACCCGGUGAUCUAGCCAUGGGCAGGUUGAAGGUUGGGUAACACUAACUGGAGGACCGAACCGACUAAUGUUGAAAAAUUAGCGGAUGACCUGUGGCUGGGGGUGAAAGGCCAAUCAAACCGGGAGAUAGCUGGUUCUCCCCGAAAGCUAUUUAGGUAGCGCCUCGUGAACUCAUCUCCGGGGGUAGAGCACUGUUUCGGCUAGGGGGCCAUCCCGGCUUACCAACCCGAUGCAAACUGCGAAUACCGGAGAAUGUUAUCACGGGAGACACACGGCGGGUGCUAACGUCCGUCGUGAAGAGGGAAACAACCCAGACCGCCAGCUAAGGUCCCAAAGUCAUGGUUAAGUGGGAAACGAUGUGGGAAGGCCCAGACAGCCAGGAUGUUGGCUUAGAAGCAGCCAUCAUUUAAAGAAAGCGUAAUAGCUCACUGGUCGAGUCGGCCUGCGCGGAAGAUGUAACGGGGCUAAACCAUGCACCGAAGCUGCGGCAGCGACAUUUAGGUGUUGUUGGGUAGGGGAGCGUUCUGUAAGCCUGUGAAGGUGGCCUGUGAGGGUUGCUGGAGGUAUCAGAAGUGCGAAUGCUGACAUAAGUAACGAUAAAGCGGGUGAAAAGCCCGCUCGCCGGAAGACCAAGGGUUCCUGUCCAACGUUAAUCGGGGCAGGGUGAGUCGACCCCUAAGGCGAGGCCGAAAGGCGUAGUCGAUGGGAAACGGGUUAAUAUUCCCGUACUUGGUGUUACUGCGAAGGGGGGACGGAGAAGGCUAUGUUGGCCGGGCGACGGUUGUCCCGGUUUAAGCGUGUAGGUGUGUGUUCCAGGUAAAUCCGGUUCACUUUAACACUGAGGCGUGA